AUUCCAUGAUGAGGGCACUUCUGUAAUAAUUCUUUGUACCUUUCCCAUGCCUUAUACAAUGACUCGUCAUCCAUUUGUUGGAAAGUAGUGAUCUCGUUCCUAAACUU
rfam:Gossypium raimondii Chr07_contig_919, whole genome shotgun sequence.